rnacentral:rRNA from 1 species
GUGGAUUAGAUACCCUGGUAGUCCACGCCGUAAACGAUGAGCACUAGUUAUUGGGGGUAUUGACUCCCUCAGUGACGCAGCUAACGCAUUAAGUGCUCCGCCUGGGGAGUACGGUCGCAAGACUAAAACUCAAACAAAUUGACGGGGGCCCGCACAAGCGGUGGAUUAUGUGGUUUAAUUCGAAGCAACGCGCAGAACCUUACCUAGGCUUGAACUCCUACGAACCCGUUGUAAUGGACGGGGUGCCCGCAAGGGAAUGUAGUGAGAGGUGCUGCACGGCCGUCGACAACU